UGUUUAUCGUCGCGUAACUAAUAACUUUGUUUACUGGAGAACGGAGAAAUAAUAAAUCGAUCGUACAUAAAGGAUUCCACAUAAUAAUUGGCCCCAGGGGCACAUGGGCGCUCGUGUUUUAUGGUACUUAUUAAGUUUUAAUGAGACUACUUUUAACGGUACGCCAGCUGCAAUGCAUAGAUCGCAGCUGCGAGGAUUCUUAGACAAAUGUGCGCGACACGUGUUCAAUAUCCGGAUUUGAGCCAAAAGGUUACAGAGAGACUUUAUUCGCGAAUACAUCGACUUUGUGCCCGAAAAAAAUCAUAAACAAACACUUUAGGAUCUGCUUGAGAAGAAGACAUUCGUCAUCCUCUGUGGAACUCCAAAAUGAAUAUCACGUGAUACACAUUCUAUGAUAUAUACGAAAGUAGCGAUACUAUUGUCGAAUUUUGGAUGACCAUGCUUAUUUCAUUCAAGCCACGUUGAAGACAUCUCGUGUUCAUAUCUUCUCACGAUGAU